rnacentral:lncRNA from 1 species
UAUAUAUAUAUAAAAUUGUAAGGAUGACAGUCAGGAAAAGAUAAAGAGUAUUUAUUACAGCGUCUUGUCCCGCGCAGGGCACGCGGGUUUGGAGGGGAGCGCGCACCUGUUCUGGCGCAUGCGCAGUAUCGCUGAGGGCGCGACCCGACAGCCGCAGUGAUGCUAGUGUCCCUGUAACGCGCUCCACACACGGAUGGGUUUAGUACCGUCUGCUUCAGCCCCGGGCCUGUGAGCGGAUCCGGUUCAGUCCGGGACGAAGGUGUUUCCUCAGCGCGGAGUAACGGAUCCCGCGACCUUGCGCUGAAUGUCAUUAGAAACGGGUUUCAAUCGCGCUACGACCCUCAGGGUUUGAGUCUCGGUGAUGGAGAUUAUAAAGCACACACUCAGCCACACAGUCGAUCUCUACAGAUGGAGUCUCAGCAUCGCAGGUAACUGCUCUUGACCCCGUGUCCUGAUAACAUCUGUUUUGGUUUCUAUCACUGAUGGAGCCUUUAACAUUCACAGAACCUCUCCGGUCCACAAUACGCUCUUUAUGAGCGGAUAAAGGUUCUUUAGAUGAUUGAAAUGUUCUUCACAUUAAGAAAAAAAACUGUUCGAUGAGGAGCCCAGAUCAGUUUAGUUUAGGGGCCGAAUCUCAGUAUUAACUAGUUGUUUAUGAGCACGUAUAUAACUAGCAGAUUGGCUGUUUAUUAGUACUUAUAAAGCACUUUUCGUGACGUUCGUUCGACUUUGCGUCUAGAACAUGAUGAAGAAGAAAAAGACUCCAAAAAAUAAAAAAUAAGCCCUUUUUCCAGACAUGAUGAGUGCUAUUGUUGUGUUCACUGAUGUGCAACCUGUUCAUGUUUACAUCUCAGUAAAUGCAUGCCCUUUAUUCUGCAUGAGCAUGUUUUAGAUCUCUUAAUCUUUAAACCCAACACCUAAACUUAGCCUCUACCUACUAUUACAGUAAUACACGAUAAUCAGGAGUUAUUAGACUAAUAUCUGGUUGCUGUUUAUCAUCCUAAACACAGUCUCUAAUCAAGAACUUAAAAAUCACAAUACUUCAUGCUCUAUUUGGAUAAAAGUGUCCCUUUUCAAUUAAUAUUGAUUUAUUUUUAAUUAUUAUGUAAAGCCAACAAAUACAUUUUUUAAUUUUUACUGCUUUAUAAAUCCAAAUCUUGAGGCAGGUUCACACUGAGGAUGAUUAACAAUACUGUAUAUAUUCAGUGUUGGUUUAUUAUAAGUGUUUUA